AAUAAAGUACGGUUUCUUUCUUUAAAAAAAAGCAACAAAAUAAAAAAAAAUAAAAAAGGCAGUAUAUACUGCUUCUCCCUCUCUCCCUCUUUAAUACAAAAAAAACCCUAAUAUCAGCUCAUUCACGCCUCCCUCAUUCUCAUUCAUGCUUCCCUCUCUCUUUCUUUCUGUCAAUCGAGGCAGCGCCUCUUUCUUUCUCUCACUGUUUGUAAACUGGAUGCUUCUAGAUGAAUUCAAUAAUUUUAUGAAGAAACGGCCAGCAAAAGAAACCCAAAUUUCGAUUGCUGUCGGUUGUAACUUGUUAUAUCGGACAAAAUAUAUGGGGUUUUGCUGUUUUAUGAAUGUGGAUUUAUGAUUAGGUAAUACGGUGUUGUAGUUGAUUCCGUUAAUCAUUUUGAUCUUUCUCUUCUUCUCUGGCGACCUCAGCCAACCUCCGACGAACGUGCAACCUAAACCCCAUUUUCUCUGUGCCUCGGCUUCUCCGCCUACCACGACAGCGGUUCAACCUCUGCCUCGACUUCUCUCCACCUCGUCUUCACGCCUCCCCCAGUCAUGGGUGCUGGUGGCUGUGUUCGAAGGGUUGAAGCUCGAGUAGAUCUCGCCCGUCUGUGUUCGAAGGCUUGGUGGCUGACGGGAUGCUGGGUUCGUGAUUUAAGUGGGAUGGGGCUUGGGGUGUUCGACGGGCAUAAGAAAUUUGAAACAUCUGAAUUUUUUUGAUAAGUUUGAACUAUUCUGAUUUGGUGAUUGUUUAUUAUGUGAUUAAAUUGAAUGUUUUAGGUCAAUUUUUCUUAAUGUAUUUUUUGGGUUUUGUAAAUGCUUCUCUGUAAAAAAAUUUAUUAUAAAUUAAGUUUUAGAAAAAGAAAUGAAUGUAUAAAAUUAACAUUCUUUA